rnacentral:rRNA from 1 species
UACAGGGGGGCAAGCGUUGUUCGGAAUUACUGGGCGUAAAGGGCUCGUAGGCGGCCAACUAAGUCACACGUGAAAUCCCCAGGCUUAACCUGGGAACUGCGUGUGAUACUGGAUGGCUUGAAUCCGGGAGAGGGAUGCGGAAUUCCAGGUGUAGCGGUGAAAUGCGUAGAUAUCUGGAGGAACACCGGUGGCGAAGGCGGCAUCCUGGACCGGUAUUGACGCUGAUGAGCGAAAGCCAGGGAGCAAACGGG